CUGGAUUUUAAUCUGAUGCCCCUACUAGAGAACAGGAGCUAAGAUUCUGAGAAAACCCAACACUUUGUCCUGAAAUAAAUAAUUGAAGGAGCCUGGCUUUUUAGCUUGGAAGCAAUGAUAGGAAGAGCCUGCAUUUGUGCAGGGAAGCAUUUUCCAAACAGCAUUUCUAAGGGUCUAUGUGGAAAACAGUACGGCACAUUGGGAGGAAAAAGAAAAAUUGUGGGAGGCAAACCCUUGGGAAACGCUGCACGCCCAGCAUUUUCUGCUGCAGCACCCACUCCGCCCAGCAUAGUAACGGUUGUGAACAAACAGUCUUGCAGGAAACAUACCUGAUUGACCCGCUUUAACCUAGCCUGCCCACAGAAUGCUACUGAUGGGCUUCUGUCUGUUGGUGUUGACGUGUUUGUUUAGAGGGGACGCCUAUGAACGGUGGGCAAACUUCCUACUCCGCUCAGCACCCGUGGCGGGACCCCGGCAUGAAAAGUGAAAGUUGUCUUCAGACGAUCCCGAGCACUGCUGGGAGGAAACCCCUUGAGCUUUUGCAAACCAAAGGGCAGAUUUGAACCCUACGCACAGGCACAUCUAGGCAACAAACGAACACUAGAACUUUCUAAACAUCACAAUAAUCUGUUUCCUGUUCCUGGAGACAUUAAAGCAGACACGCAAUGCCAUCAGGGCCACUGGAGGAAAUGCCUGCCCCGCGUAGGACAUUCUGAGGACCCACCCUGAAAGGUGUGUACACAUAAGACACACGGGGGCUUCCUCCAGCAAACUGUCUUUAAAACUAUGUCCCGGGCUCCAUUUCUCUUCUGUAGUCCGAGUCCCAUCCUUUGGAUUCGCUCUUACUGUGUUGCCUUCAGUGUUAUGGACCAAACCCCUCAAGGUCAGUCCUUGUCAGCCAAUGGUCUUUGCUCUGCUCUGGGCCUCUUCAUAGCCAAGCCCACCACCAUGGGCCUCGGCCGCUAGGAAUCCCACCCUGAGCCUCUAGGUGGGGCUUGCAAACCUCAGAUGCGGCAGGGAGCUCACCGCAGAGCUUAGCAGCCCAGAGAAGGGUGGGGUCUGAGAAACCUGGCCCCACAGUCCUCUAGGCUUGUGAGACCUGCCCUCCCCGACCACACGUGUCCACAGUGGAGUCCAAUCACCACGUAGCUGAGGCCCAUGGCAUACUAAAAGGGAACAGAAGGCCAGAUCCCAACUCUGCCACCUUCCUGAGCCUAUGACCCAGACACAUUUCUAUAGCAUAUUUCUCUCUGGAAAAAAAGAAGUGAUACACUGCAUCAGAGUCUUAUGAAAAUGAAAAGAGAUUAAAAGUACAUAACAGACUCGGCAGCGUGGACAUUCAGGAAAUGCUUAUUUAAUGGAGGAUUGUGGCCAUGACAGCAACAACUGUCUAAGAAGGUAAAGCUCUUCUUUAGAAAUUCUCUGAUCAGCGUGCCAAGAUGUCAGACCCCUGCCAAGGCCAUAGCUGGAGACCAUCUAGCUCUCUACCCCCGUUCCUUUUAAGACUUGGUGCUUGAGAACAGAAAGUAAGGCAUGUGCAGCCCUAGCCAGUUUGGCUCAGUGGAUAGAGCUUUGGCCUGCAGGCUGAAGGGUCCCAGGUUCAAUUUUAAGAAUAGAAUAAGGCAUGUGUACUACAGCAUGCUACUUUCCUCACACAGUCUAGAAUCCUGCGUGGCCGUUUCUGGAUUUCAGUAGCUGCAGCCUCAUCCAUUCUAGACCCCAGGCCUCAUCUGUGAGACAAGGGGUUGGAUUAGAGUUGCUUCUAGCUGCUGUGAACUGUGCCUUUGAAUUGGGACGGUGAAUGCAGGUAUUUAAGUAAUAUUAAGGGUCCAUGGUACUUAAUGGGGAAAAAAACACCUCACCAAACUAAAGCAGCAUGUGUGUGUGUGUGUGUGUGUGUACAUGGCAACACACAAUAUACACAAGGGGCUUUGAAAUCAUUUAAAUUGCCCCCCAUGGUUGUGCCUGAAUACACGUCUGGCAAAUAAGGAGCUGGACCCAGACUGAAGGAGUGAGAUAAGCCCUUACCUCCAAAUGGGAAGAAUAAGCCCGAGUCCCGGCCCUGACUCUGAGGGCAGAGCUGCCUCCCCAUCUCGGGGGGGCGGGGGGUAGGGGGGUUGGCACCGUCUCUUCCCACCUUCACGUGAGGGGCAUGGUCCCAACAUCUCCGGGUGCCAUGUCUUGGGAAAGAGCCUCUGAUCUAUUUUUGUUGGAUGUGCAUGCUCUCCAGGAGGAUUACCAUCGGGCUGACUCAACCCGGGCUUAUUCCUUUUGUUUGAUUGCUCUGCUUUCAUAAGGCAGGCUCCGCGGCCAAUUUUAGCCCUUCUUGGAUUAAGGGAGUGUCCAAAUGAAGGUACUGGAGCAUUUGUCACGGUUUCUGCCGGGAUGCUUGCCUCCCCCUCCCCCUCCCCACCCCACCCUGACGACGCUCCCUUCCAUCUGGCACAGGCACAGCCCUCCCGCUCCGUGGAUGACACGCUAAGUCGAGUCUGGCUUUCACAUUAGCCGAGAGGAGGCCCUGAAGUCAGAAAUCCUUGGCACAUGAGUCACUUGGUCUCUCGUGCCUUCUUCCCUCAACUGUGAGUAGGCGGAGCUCUCGCUCUGUCUCCCCAUGUGCGGCCCCCGACAGAGGCAGGCUCCUGCGAGGUGGCCCUUCCCCACUGGCAGGUCCCUGCUUCCACAGGGGGGCCCACUUGCACAGUCACAGCCCCAGGGGGUUCCUAGUAAAACAAGGUAUCUCUCUGUCUCUCCGCUUCCACACCCGGCCCCCUCCGGACCUCCUGCAGCACCGCCCGCGUGCACUUACUAACAUGCAGAAGUCAGCCUUCCUGAAGAGCCUUCUGUGGCUCCCUAUUGCCUUCAGGACAACGGCCUCAGCAGUGGAAACGGAUGUCCCAAGAUUGGCAAAUUAUAAGGAAAAACUUGUCUCAGGAGAGGUCUCUCUGCUUCUAACGCUGCCUCCACCACCAGGAGCCCCUCUGCACUCUGCAGCCAGAGCCAUCUUCCUGUGGCCCUACAGGCCUACAAUAGAAGCCACACGUCUUCCCAGACCUGUGGUGCCCAGGGUGGUCAGGUGCACGCAGCCUGGCCAUUCCCUGUGAUGACAAUAUCCUUCAGCUUCAGGACUAAUGGCCCCUCCUCAGGGCUGUCCUCCCUGACCAUGCAAGUCAGGUGCACGGCCCCUCUCUCCUUCUCAUCACCCUGAUUGGCUGUGUUCACGGUACAUAGUACCAUCCACAUCCUCUUGUUUACUGGUUUUUCUUCUUCCUUAUCUGGGUCAACUUACUAGAGGCUAAGCUGCAGGAGGGCUGAGAGUUGUCUCUCUCAUGAGCAGCUACAACAUACUUGGCUCAUAGUUGACACAAGAAAUAUUUGCUGAAUGACUAAACCAAGAAAUGAAUACAUAUCACUGGACAUUUGAAAAUGUAGAAGAGCAUAAAGAAGCAGAUAAAAUCACUCAUACUUCCUCCUUCUGGAUAUUACUUCUGUUAAUAUUUUGGAGUAUUUCUCAGGUCCUUUUUUAAUGUAUAUCUAUGAGGUAUAGUAUGUAUUUAACAAAAAUUAAGAUUAUAUUAAAUUAUGGUUUGUAUCUUGCUUUUUUUCACUUAUUAUAUUGUAUCUCCACAUGUUGUAAAAUAAUCAUUUAAUAUAUCAUUUUAAGUGCUGCAUUCAAUUUCCUAUGAAUGUAAUAAAAUUAAUUUAAGCGUUUCCCUAUUGUUGGAUAUUGAUAACUUAAUUUUAUCUUCUAAUUUAUCUACUCUCUGCUCAAACCAUUCUAAUAAAAUUUGGGUGUUAAGAUA